CCAAAUGUUUCAGCUGCAGCUGCAGAUUUUCUGACGUCAGAGGAUGUGAUCACGGUUGUUGCAGCGCUUGCUGGAGGUCUGGUCGGCAUUGUGUGUGUAUCUCUGGUGGUGGUCCUGCUCUGGAGAAAACAUCGUUCAGCCGGAAACAAUUUUGUGGUUAACAAGAAGCCUGGCCAGAACCAUUUCCUUCAACAAAACUACUCUCAUGCUCAUCCCUUGAAGAAGGUAUACUUGUUGUAUGCCGAAGAUCACAAAGAUCACAUUAAUGUGAUCACCAAUCUGGCCAUCUACCUGAAAGACCACUGCAAGUGCGAGGUGUUCUUCCUGCCGUGGUUCCGCGGCACCAUCCAGACAA